UACGGAGGGUGCGAGCGUUGUCCGGAAUCACUGGGCGUAAAGGGCGCGUAGGCGGCCCGGCAAGUCUGUGGUGAAAGCUCAGGGCUCAACUCUGAGUCGGCCACGGAUACUGCGGGGCUCGAGCACGGUAGAGGCAGGUGGAAUUCCGGGUGUAGCGGUGGAAUGCGCAGAUAUCAGGAAGAACACCGAUGGCGAAGGCAGAUCUCUGGGCCGUAACUGACGCUGAGGAGCGAAAGCAUGGGGAGCGAACAGG
rnacentral:rRNA from 1 species